rnacentral:rRNA from 1 species
UACGGGGGGAGCAAGCGUUGUUCGGAUUUACUGGGCGUAAAGGGCGCGUAGGCGGUCGUGACAAGUCACUUGUGAAAUCUCCGGGCUUAACUCGGAACGGUCAAGUGAUACGUGUCGGGACUAGAGUACAGAAGGGGGCAACUGGAAUUCUCGGUGUAGCGGUGAAAUGCGUAGAUAUCGAGAGGAACACCUGCGGCGAAGGCGGGUGCUGGGCUGACACUGACGCUGAAGCGCGAAAGCUAGGGGAGCGAACGGG